rnacentral:pre_miRNA from 1 species
UAACCUCCGCAGGCUGGCCACCCCGCAGGCUGGGCUGGGCGAGUAUCUUUUCGAAAGGCUCACUCUCAAGCACGACUAGGAGC